CAGUAGCCGCGGUAAUACGUAGGUCCCGAGCGUUGUCCGGAUUUAUUGGGCGUAAAGCGAGCGCAGGCGGUUAGAUAAGUCUGAAGUUAAAGGCUGUGGCUUAACCAUAGUACGCUUUGGAAACUGUUUAACUUGAGUGCAAGAGGGGAGAGUGGAAUUCCAUGUGUAGCGGUGAAAUGCGUAGAUAUAUGAAGGAACACCGGUGGCGAAAGCGGCUCUCUGGCUUGUAACUGACGCUGAGGCUCGAAAGCGUGGGGAGCAAACAGGAUUAGAUACCCGGGUAGUCCCUGUCUCUUAUACA
rnacentral:rRNA from 1 species